GCCGCCAUCCCAUCUGGAAAGUGAGGAGCGUCUCUGCCCGGCCGCCCAUCGUCUGAGAUGUGGGGAGCGCCUCUGCCCCGCCGCCCCGUCUGGGAUGUGAGGAGCGCCUCGGCCCGGCCGUGACCCCAUCUGGGAGGUGAGGAUCGUCUCUGCCCGGCCGCCCCGUCUGAGAAGUGAGGAGCCCCUCCGCCCGGCAACUGCCCCAUCUGAGAAAGAGAAUGCGUCCAGCUUUUUCCUGUUCGGUAUGAUGUUGGCUGAGGAUUUGUCAUAGAUGCCUCUUAUUAUUUUGAGGUAUGUUUCUUGAAUGCCUGGUUUUUUGCGAAUAUGUUCAUCAGUCAAUAUUUAAUUUUCUUGAAUGCUAUUUCUGCAUAUAUUGUGAUAUAUACUUUUUUGCUUAAAAUUACCUUCACAUGGUGAAUUACACUUAUUGACUUGCAUAUUAUGAAACAUUAUUGCAUUCAUAGAAUAAAGCUCAUAUGACUGUGGCAAAGUAACUUUAUUUGCUUAUGAACUCAGCUUCCUAGUAUUUCAUGGAGGAUUUUUGUUUCUAUGUUCACCAGGAAUAUAGGCCUGUAGUUGUUUUUGUUGUUCUGUCUUCACUAGAUUUUGAGAGCAACAUGAUACUAAUUUUAUGUAAUAAGUUAGGGUGGAAUCCCACCAUGAUUUUUUU
rnacentral:lncRNA from 1 species